UUAAUUGAAGAGUUUGAUCAUGGCUCAGAUUGAACGCUGGCGGCAGGCCUAACACAUGCAAGUCGAGCGGCAGCACAGAGGAACUUGUUCCUUGGGUGGCGAGCGGCGGACGGGUGAGUAAUGCCUGGGAAAUUGC
rnacentral:rRNA from 1 species